rfam:Syntrophaceae bacterium CG2_30_58_14 cg2_3.0_scaffold_3968_c, whole genome shotgun sequence.
GGGGGCGUCACGGUUUCGACGGGGAUAUGUGAAGCUGCAUAAGCGUACCGAGGUUCCUGCAGGCCUCGUUAAACAGGCAGGACAAUAUAAUCGCAGACAACUACGAUUACGCUUUAGCCGCUUAGUCGCGGCUAACGUCUCCCCGAUUUCGCCUGUCGGGUCGGUUUGGGGGCGUCAUACGGGCAGGAUAACCGCUUUCCCACGCCUGGGGGGAGAGGGGCGAAAAGCCAUAAAACAGGAUAGCGAAAGAGGGAUCCUGCUUCCGGGAGCCCUCAGGGGCGAAACUCAAAACAGAAGAUACGUGCGUAGAAAGUGCAGCGGAAGAUUUCCGGACGCGGGUUCGACUCCCGCCGCCUCCACCA